rnacentral:rRNA from 1 species
UGGUGGAGCAUGUGGUUUAAUUCGAAGCAACGCGAAGAACCUUACCAGGUCUUGACAUCCUUUGACCACUCUAGAGAUAGAGCUUUCCCUUCGGGGACAAAGUGACAGGUGGUGCAUGGUUGUCGUCAGCUCGUGUCGUGAGAUGUUGGGUUAAGUCCCGCAACGAGCGCAACCCUUAUUACUAGUUGCCAGCAUUCAGUUGGGCACUCUAGUGAGACUGCCGGUGACAAACCGGAGGAAGGUGGGGAUGACGUCAAAUCAUCAUGCCCCUUAUGACCUGGGCUACACACGUGCUACAAUGGAUGGUACAACGAGUCGCAAGGUCGCGAGGCCAAGCUAAUCUCUUAAAGCCAUUCUCAGUUCGGAUUGUAGGCUGCAACUCGCCUACANGAAGCCNNAAUCGC